AUUGAACGCUGGCGGCAGGCCUAACACAUGCAAGUCGAGCGGAGCGGCGGACGGGUGAGUAAUGCCUAGGAAUCUGCCUGGUAGUGGGGGAUAACGUCCGGAAACGGGCGCUAAUCCCGCAUACUAUCAGAUGAGCCUAGGUCGUAUUAGCUAGUUGGUGGGGUAAAGGCCUACCAAGGCGACGAUCCGUAACUGUGCUGAGAGGAUGAUCAGUCACAUUGGAACUGAGACACGGUCCAGAAUCCUACGGGAGGCAGCAGUGGGGAAGAUUGGACAAUGGGCGAAAGCCUGAUCCAGCCAGGCCGCGGGGGGGAAGAAGGCCUUCGGAUUGUAAAGCACUUUAAGUUGGGAGGCGUUACCAACAGAAUAAGCACCGGCUAACUUCGUGCCAGCAGCCGCGGUAAUUC
rnacentral:rRNA from 1 species